rnacentral:rRNA from 1 species
UAGGGAAUCUUCGGCAAUGGGGGCAACCCUGACCGAGCAACGCCGCGUGAGUGAAGAAGGUUUUCGGAUCGUAAAGCUCUGUUGUAAGAGAAGAACGUGUGUGAGAGUGGAAAGUUCACACAGUGACGGUAACUUACCAGAAAGGGACGGCUAACUACGUGCCAGCAGCCGCGGUAAUACGUAGGUCCCGAGCGUUGUCCGGAUUUAUUGGGCGUAAAGCGAGCGCAGGCGGUUUAAUAAGUCUGAAGUUAAAGGCAGUGGCUUAACCAUUGUUCGCUUUGCAAACUGUUAAACUUGAGUGCAGAAGGGGAGAGUGGAAUUCCAUGUGUAGCGGUGAAAUGCGUAGAUAUAUGGAGGAACACCGGUGGCGAAAGCGGCUCUCUGGUCUGUAACUGACGCUGAGGCUCGAAAGCGUGGGGAGCAAACAGG